UACAUGUGGGGCAAGCGUUGUUCGGAAUUACUGGGCAUAAAGGGUGCGUAGGUGGCUUGUUAAGUCAGGGGUGAAAGUUUUCGGCCCAACCGGAAAAUGGCCUUUGAUACUGGCGAGCUUGAGUGCGUGAGGGGUAACCGGAACGGGCAGUGUAGCGGUGAAAUGCGUAGAUAUUGCUCGGAAGGCCAACGGCGAAGGCAGGUUACUGGUACGCAACUGACACUGAGGCACGAAAGCGUGGGGAGCGAACAGG
rnacentral:rRNA from 1 species